rnacentral:lncRNA from 1 species
AGCUAGACACAAUCGAAGCUGUCUCAUUGGUGAUCCCGUCGGCCUCGAUGACGAUCCAGACGACGUCGUACAGCACCAACAUGAGCGAGUGCAUAACGCCAAUCAAAUGCAGCCUGGAAGGUCAGAGUAUAAGUGAAAGUGGCGUUGUAAAACUCUUGCGAUACGUUGAAGGCGGCGGGACAGGAUUGUUGAACAUGGGUGUGCACACCAUGCGUAGCAAGUGGAGUUUGGGUUUGUGGUUUUGAAGGGCUGAGAGAAACGAUGCCGAAUCAUCGAAUUGCUUCUGUUGAGAAAACCAUUCAUAGGAACCUUCUGGUUCGAAACCCUUGAAACCACCAGCAAUCUCGAUGCAUCUAUUGCUUUUUUAUACAAACUGCUUAGCCCCUCCUUUUGCUCGAGAAUCUGAACGAUCAUCGACUUCUCGACCAGAGCUUGCAAGAAAUUGAGCACUCUAUGCAUAUUAUAAGCUUGAUCAAAUUGUUUGAGAAGAGCAAUCUCCUGCUCAUUCUUGUUCUUCAUCUUAGCCCUAACAGAAGCUCUAGAGCUGAAAGAUGAACUCAUUGGCCAUGUCCCAAAGCCACUGGUUCGGCAGCUGCAUAUUAAUGACUCCGUGGAAGACGACUUGGAAGAGGCUGCAGUAAUUGUCCAAGGAGUUGAUCCACUGCUUCAGCAUCAGAGACAGGCAGGUGAGAGUGGCGUUGUAAAACUCUUGCGAUACGUUGAAGGCGACGGGACAGGAUUGUUGAACAUGGGUGUGCACACCAUGCGUAGCAGGUGGAGUUUGGGUUUGUGGUUUUGAAGGGCUGAGAGAAACGAUGCUGAAUCAUCAAAUUGCUUCUGUUGAGAAAACCAUCCAUGGGAACCUUCUGGUUUGAAACCCUUGAAACCACCAGCAAUCUCGAUGCAUCUAUUGCUUCUUUAUACAAACUGCUUAGCCCCUCAUUUUGCUCGAGAAUCUGAACGAUCAUCGACUUCUCGACCAGAGCUUGCAAGAAAUUGAGCACUCUAUGCAUAUUAUAAGCUUGAUCAAAUUGUUUGAGAAGAGCAAUCUCCUGCUCAUUCUUGUUCUUCAUCUUAGCCCUAACAGAAGCUCUAGAGCUGAAAGAUGAACUCAUUGGCCAUGUCCCAAAGCCACUGGUUCGGCAGCUGCAUAUUAAUGACUCCGUUGAAGACGACUUGGAAGAAGCUGCAGUAAUUGUCCAAGGAGGUGAUCCGCUGCUUCGGCAUCAGAGACAGGCGGGCGUAGAAGUGGUGGAAGGUUCUUAAAGACAACUGCUUACAGAAGUGGAAUUGAUGAUGGCAUUGGGCCGAGAAACACAUACAUACAUACAU